UACGUAGGGGGCUAGCGUUGUCCGGAAUCAUUGGGCGUAAAGAGCGCGUAGGCGGCUAGAUAAGUCAGGGGUGAAAUCCUGGAGCUCAACUCCAGAACUGCCUUUGAUACUGAGGAUCUUGAGUCCGGGAGAGGUGAGUGGAACUGCGAGUGUAGAGGUGAAAUUCGUAGAUAUUCGCAAGAACACCAGUGGCGAAGGCGGCUCACUGGCCCGGAACUGACGCUGAGACGCGAAAGCGUGGGGAGCAAACAGG
rnacentral:rRNA from 1 species